GUCAGGAUAGGCCAUGUGCACGAAUGCUGUUAGUGGUCUGUAUUGUGAAGCUUAUUUUUUCAAUCGUCUCUUUAUUCCCAAGAAUGAAGACAAAUUUGAAUAAGAAAGUAUUUUGACAAAGCAUUCUGGUCUUGAUAGUUUGCCAUGAUGCAAAUGACCUAUUCACAAAAGCCACCCU